rnacentral:rRNA from 1 species
GGACGCUUUCGGGGGUUUCGGCCCCCGAGGGAGUGGCGGACGGGUGAGUAGCGCGUGGGAACCUGCCUUGGAGUGGGGGAUAACCGAGGGAAACUUCGGCUAAUACCGCAUACGCCCCGGCGCGAGCCGGGGGAAAGAUUGAUCGCUCCAAGAGGGGCCCGCGUCGGAUUAGGUAGUUGGUGGGGUAACGGCCCACCAAGCCUGUGAUCCGUAGCUGGUCUGAGAGGAUGAUCAGCCACACUGGGACUGAGACACGGCCCAGACUCCUACGGGAGGCAGCAGUGGGGAAUAUUGGACAAUGGGCGCAAGCCUGAUCCAGCAAUGCCGCGUGAGUGAUGAAGGCCUUAGGGUUGUAAAGCUCUUUCGCCCGCGACGAUGAUGACGGUAGCGGGAGAAGAAGCCCCGGCUAACUUCGUG